rnacentral:lncRNA from 1 species
CACAAUACAUCCAGGCACACUUCCAGUUGGGAGAACAGGCUCCAAAUACAUCCAGGCAAUUCAAAAAAUAUUACAACCUUCAAAUAUACCAAAAUUUUACGGCCCAAACACUUGCAGCCGAUUAUAUCCGAAGGCAUACAAACUAAGAAAUGAUUUUACCAACUUACAACCUAUGUCCCCUAUUCAGUCCCCUUUUACCAAUUCAAAAAAUAUUACAACCUUCAAAUAUACCAAAAUUUUACGGCCCAAACACUUGCAGCCGAUUAUAUCCGAAGGCAUACAAACUAAGAAAUGAUUUUACCAACUUACAACCUAUGUCCCCUAUUCAGUCCCCUUUUACUAUUCUGGAAGGGGGCUUUUCGAGAGCAUCGGCACCUUCCAAUCCAGGGGAAUACUGUCUCAGGGUACCACCAAGCAUUUUCUUCUUGCUUGAGAUUAAUAUAUCAGGAUAUCAACAUCCAAUGGUUGAUGGGCAACUCGCAGCGUGAAGGAAAAUGAGUUGCCCUUAUUUGUUAGUAUGUAGCAGUAUCUUUUUCGCGACCCUAAGUCGCAUAACAUUUGCUGUAAACAAGAGCCACUAGAUUGUGGUGGUAAGUAAGUGUACAACAGCUACAAGGGCAAGAAACGUGUUCCAGUGGAAC